rnacentral:rRNA from 1 species
GACGAACGCUGGCGGCGUGCUUAACACAUGCAAGUCGAGCGGUACGGCCCUUCGGGGUACACGAGCGGCGAACGGGUGAGUAACACGCGGGUGACCUGCCUUCCACUCUGGGCUACGCCCGGGAAACUGGGUAUAAUACCGGAUAGGCCUCCUGGGUGCAUGCAGGGUGGGGGAACGUUUUUUCGGUGGGGGAUUGGCCCGCGGUCUAUCAGCUUGGUGGUGGGGUGGUGGCCUACCAAGGCGACGACGGGUGGCCGGCGUGAGCGGGUGAUCGGCCACACUGGGACUGAGACACGGCCCAGACUCCUACGGGAGGCAGCAGUGGGGAAUCUUGCGCAAUGGGCGGAAGCCUGACGCAGCAACGCCGCGUGGGGGAUGACGGCCUUCGGGUUGUAAACCUCUUUCGCGAUCGACGAAGGCCCACUUUCUGUGGGUUGGCGGUAGGUCGAGAAGAAGCACCUGCCAACUACGUGCCAGCCGCCGCAGUAACAC